UACGUAGGGUGCGAGCGUUGUCCGGAAUUAUUGGGCGUAAAGCGCGUGUAGGCGGCUCGGUAAGUCUGCUGUGAAAGUCCAGGGCUCAACCCUGGGAUGCCGGUGGAUACUGUCGAGCUCGAGUCCGGAAGAGGCGAGUGGAAUUCCUGGUGUAGCGGUGAAAUGCGCAGAUAUCAGGAGGAACACCUAUUGCGAAGGCAGCUCGCUGGGACGUAACUGACGCUGAGACGCGAAAGCGUGGGGAGCAAACAGG
rnacentral:rRNA from 1 species